rnacentral:rRNA from 1 species
AUGGAGAUUGUACUGAAGAGAUAUGGUUUGCAUGAUCAACUUUCACUGUAUAAGAGCAUGCUUAUGGACGAUCUAGAUUCAGGUUGUGAAGCAGGAGUACUCAAAGUGCUAAGCGAAGUUGAUGAAGAAAUGGAAAGAGAAGACUUAUCCAUACAGGAAAAAUUGGAUAUGGAGCUGCAAGAUCUAAAUAAAGGACUUCAGCAAAAGGAGUUGCUAUUUUCCUUUCAUUAUGAUUGUAAUUGUUCAUAUACGAAUUUAAAACUUAUCUGGCUCGACCUGGACACUUUGUUCACAUGUACUAAAUAA